rnacentral:rRNA from 1 species
UACAGAGGGGGCGAGCGUUGUUCGGAAUUACUGGGCGUAAAGGGCGCGUAGGCGGCCCGCUAAGUCGAACGUGAAAUCCCCAGGCUCAACCUGGGAACUGCGUCCGAUACUGGCGGGCUUGAAUCCGGGAGAGGGAUGUGGAAUUCCAGGUGUAGCGGUGAAAUGCGCAGAUAUCAGGAGGAACACCGGUGGCGAAGGCGGGUCUCUGGGCCGAUACUGACGCUGAGGAGCGAAAGCGUGGGGAGCGAACAGG